rnacentral:rRNA from 1 species
UCGAACGAAAGUUUUUAACUUUAGUGGCGAACGGGUGCGUAAUACGUGAGAAUCUGCCCUUAGGAGAAGGAUAACUGCUGGAAACGGCUGCUAAAACUUCAUAUGUCGAGAGAUGAAAUAGCUUAGGCUGCCUAAGGAUGAGCUCACGCCUGAUUAGCUAGUUGGUGAGGUAAAGGCUCACCAAGGCCACGAUCAGUAGCUGGUUUGAGAGAACGAUCAGCCACACUGGGACUGAGACACGGCCCAGACUCCUCCGGGAGGCAGCAGUGAGGAAUUUUCCGCAAUGGGCGAAAGCCUGACGGAGCAAUACCGCGUGAGGGAUGACGGAUUUUGGUCUGUAAACCUCUUUUCUCAAGAAAGAAGUUCUGACGGUACUUGAGGAAUAAGCAUCGGCUAACUCCGUGCCAGCAGCCGCGGUAAUACGGGGGAUGCAAGCGUUAUCCGGAAUCAUUGGGCGUAAAGCACCUGUAGGUUGUUUAUUAAGUCUGUGGUUAAAGACUAGGGCUCAACCCUAGGAAAGCAAUGGAAACUAAUAGACUAGAGUAUGGCAGGGGUAGAGGGAAUUUCUAGUGUAGCGGUGAAAUGCGUAGAUAUUAGAAAGAACACCGGUGGCGAAAGCGCUCUACUGGACCAUUACUGACACUCAGAGGCGAAAGCUAGGGUAGCAAAAGGGAUUAGAU